GCAAUAAUAGCUUAAGAUAAAGUAUUGGUCUUGUAAGCCAAAGAUGAGUUAUUUUAUCUCUUAUUGCU
rnacentral:tRNA from 1 species